rnacentral:rRNA from 1 species
GGCGGCAUGCCUUACACAUGCAAGUCGAACGGCAGCACGGGAGCAAUCCUGGUGGCGAGUGGCGAACGGGUGAGUAAUAUAUCGGAACGUGCCCAGUCGUGGGGGAUAACGCAGCGAAAGCUGUGCUAAUACCGCAUACGAUCUAUGGAUGAAAGCGGGGGACUCGCAAGAGCCUCGCGCGAUUGGAGCGGCCGAUAUCAGAUUAGCUAGUUGGCGGGGUAAAAGCCCACCAAGGCGACGAUCUGUAGCUGGUCUGAGAGGACGACCAGCCACACUGGAACUGAGACACGGUCCAGACUCCUACGGGAGGCAGCAGUGGGGAAUUUUGGACAAUGGGCGCAAGCCUGAUCCAGCAAUGCCGCGUGCAGGAUGAAGGCCUUCGGGUUGUAAACUGCUUUUGUACGGAACGAAACGGUCUCUCUUAAUACGGGGGGCUAAUGACGGUACCGUAAGAAUAAGCACCGGCUAACUACGUGCCAGCAGCCGCGGUAAUACGUAGGGUGCGAGCGUUAAUCGGAAUUACCGGGCGUAAAGCGUGCGCAGGCGGU